AGACCACUUAAGUGACAGAGGAGUAUCCCGUCAUCAACAAUAAUGACAACCGCUUGGAGAAAACAGACCAACGUUUGAAUCCAUACCAGUUAUGAGAUUUCUGUUGAGCUUCCCGCCCAAGUGACCGAGCAACUUCACCACCCUGAGCCUCACCGUGGUACCCAUCCAGAAGCGGGAGGAUGAGCUUGUAGCAAGGCUGCAUGUUCUCCGGAGGGAUGUGGCUGGACCAGUCCUCUAAAGCAUGGAGGGCUGCAUUCGCUAAAGGGACAUGACUAAGACCCAACUUCAAAGCUGCCUGCAUGAUGGUAAAAAGUCAAGGUAUGAGAAGUGUCUUCAAAUAUCACAAACAGGAACCACAAUUAAUUCAAUUUAAAAAAAAAGAAAAAAGUGGAACGCACCUCCAAAGCAGGACAGUACACCUUGAUAUCCACGGCAACAAUGUUGUGGUGCAGCGAGAGGACAAAGGUCAAGCAGGAUGCCAGCAGCUCAUCUUUGUACUGCUUCAUCUUCACACAGACCUAGUUAAACAGACACCACAUUUCACUCACAAGUUCAAUCUCCCUGGUGAUAUAUUAUUGAAAGAGAUUCUACCUCUUUUCCAAAUUUGGAGAAGAGGGCAAAGCAA